UCCUCUGAUGGAUCUCAGCAAAGUAAAUUGAAAGCCACUGGAAAGGAUUCACCAGUCUAGAUGCCAUUAAGAACAUUUGUGAUUCAUUGAAGAAGGUCAAAAUAUCAACAUUAAAGAGUUUGGAAGAAAUUGAUUCCAACCUUCACAGAUGACUUUGAAGAAUCCAAGGCUUCAGUGGAGAAAGUAACUGCAAAUGUGGUAGAAAUAGCAAGAGAACUAGAAUUAAAAGUGGAGUCUGAAGAGGUUACUGAAUUGCUAUAAUCUCAUGAUAGAGUUUGAAGGGAUGAGCAAGUUGCUUCUUAUGGGUAAGCAAAAAAAAAAGGAGAACCUUAAAAUUAAAACUACUGCUGUAAAGAUGCUAUGAACACUGCCAAAAUGACAACAAAGCAUUUAGAAUGGCACAUAAACUUAGUUUAUAAGUAGUGACAAGGUCUGAGAGGAUUGACUCCACUUUGAAAGAAGUUCUACAUAAGGUAUCAAACAUCUCAUGCAACAGCGAAACUUUUCAUGAAAGGAAAAGUCAAUCAAUGCAGGAAACUUCAUUGUCUUAUUUCAGAAAUUGCCACAGCCACUUCAACUUUUCACAACCACCACCUUGAUCAACCAGCAGCCAUCAACAUUGAGGGAAGACUCUCCACCAGCAAAAAGAUUACAAUUCACUGAAGGUUCAGAUGAUUAUCAGCCUUUUUUGCAAUAAAGUCUUUUCAGUUAAGUGGAAGAAACCUUCACUAAAGGCCUGGGACUUAGCUUACAGAUAUAGAGAAAAACAAAGUCAGAUUCUCAAGUUACUGCAUUCUCAUGUAUCCUGCUUUCUACUUGGAUAAUUAUUAUGGACUGAAUUGUGUUCCCCUAAAAUUUGUAGUCUGAAGCCCUAACCUUCAAUGUGACUGUAUUGGGAGAUAAGGCCUUUAAAGAAGUGAUUAUGGUUAAAUGAGAUUGUAAAAGUGAGGCCCUAAUCUAAUAGGACUGGUAUCCUUCUAAGAACAGGAGAAGACACCAGAGAUCUAUCUCUCUCCAUGCACAGAGGAAAGGCCAUAUGAGGACACAGCAAGAAGACGCCAUCUGUAAGCCACGGAGAGGGGCCUGAGAAGAAACCAGCCCUGCUGGUACCCUGAUCUUGGACUUUCAGCCUCCAGAACUGCAAGAAAAUUUCGUUAAGCCACCCAGUUUGUGGUAUUUUGUUAUGGCAGCCUGUGCAGACUGAGACAAUCAUGAAGUGUUAAUUUAAUCAGUAAGAAUAAACCAACCUGAAA
rnacentral:lncRNA from 1 species